rnacentral:lncRNA from 1 species
UCUCCUGUCGCGUGCGGCGCGUGCGAGCGCCAGUUUCAGCCCGGUUCUUUUUUCGUAGCUCGCGGGAAAACCGCUCCCGGGAUUCUCAACCUUUUUCGGGGCUCGGUCACCACGUGCCACCCCAUCGACAAAUUUUGGUUACGUAUAGUUAUUCCCCCCAAAAGUGCUCAGUGAUCUUUUGAGAAUCGUGUCUCUUCUCCGUACAUUGUGUGGCUCAAAAUAAUACAGUGCUUCCAAAAUAUAGUGAUCUUUGGUUCUGCGUUGGGUGCCUUUAAUUCGGAGGCUUGCAGUUUUUGACUAUGGCUUGAUUAGCAUCGUUUAUCAAACUUUAAGGUGUGAAAGCGGUAGAAGAGUCCUCGGUCAACUGAUUAAGAUCCCAUAAUGUUUCGCUCUCUUAUGUGCCUAAACUUUAAAUCAGCCCUGCGUUUUGAUACAGUUUUCCUCCGGAGGUAAACUACGCCACGUUGGCUAAUAAUUUUAAAAUUAAUGAUUCCUCUCUAUUACACGCACGAAAGGAUGCCUUGGAAGUGUAAGUUCAAGCGGGUUCACUGAAUUUCUUAGAGAUUCGAGCGAGUCGGUAGUUUUGUGCGAGCCUGGCUUUUGGCGGGCUCUGGGUACGUGGCCGAAGAUGUAAAAUGGUCGCGAAAACUUUUGUGUCGUGCGGCCCGCAAGUUCUGGAUCGUUGUUCGCCCCAAGCGUGAGUCGUGCUCCACCAUGCCAGUUUGGAUUAUCCUCUUCGUUCUCGUCUUCUUCUCUGCAGCUAACUGCCACGCCGCCCUCUUGAACAUCACCGAAGACUCAGAGAAUAAGGAACACUCAGUGCGCAUCGUGGAUCGGGACCUCGGGGCGUGCGCUAGGAGGCGUGACAGGAUUCGCUACGCCGCCACGGACAAAACAGGA